AAUACUUUACUGAUUCUUCGCCCUCAGGUUACGAUAGUUUUUCCCCUCUUCACCAAUAUUUGCCCUAGUUUCUACAUUUGUGACACUUCAACCCGUUGUCGUCGAGUCAUCGCUGCCGCACGUUGUUGUGAGUUCCUGCUCCAUUGAUUGUGAUCGUGGCGCCUCGAAUCGAUGUAUUGCGAGGCGUCGAAUUCUCUAAUUAGUGAUAAAAUUGGUGUUUCAUUCCUUGUGAAGGAUUUGUUGGCGACCAUGGUGAUGAGACGGAGGAGACAUGACGAGCGAGGACCAUAGGCUACGUAGUUACUUUUGCUUAGCUUAAGUUUUAGAUGGUUAAGACCCUACGUUUUGGUCGAUAAACUAUUUGAUCUUAUCUGAAUAAUUGGGAGGUUCCCAACUUGUUGUUUAUUUUAUUUCGGGAUAGAUGUUUGUUUUAGUUUUCUUCCAUUCAUUGAGUUUUGCCUAGUUGGAAUAAUAAAUUUGCCUCGUGAGGCUGUCCACGGAUGUUGUUGAUUGAUGUUCUAUAGAAUUGAUUCAUUGUUAAAUUGAUGAGAGGUGAAGCUUGGUUUUAUA